rnacentral:rRNA from 1 species
GACGAACGCUGGCGGCGUGCUUAACACAUGCAAGUCGAACGGAAAGGCCCUGCUUUUGUGGGGUGCUCGAGUGGCGAACGGGUGAGUAACACGUGAGUAACCUGCCCUUGACUUUGGGAUAACUUCAGGAAACUGGGGCUAAUACCGGAUAGGAGCUCCUGCUGCAUGGUGGGGGUUGGAAAGUUUCGGCGGUUGGGGCUGGACUCGCGGCUUAUCAGCUUGUUGGUGGGGUAGUGGCUUACCAAGGGUUUGACGGGUAGCCGGCCUGAGAGGGUGACCGGGCACAUUGGGACUGAGAUACGGCGCAGAAUCCUACGGGAGGCAGCGGUCGGGAACAUUGCAGAACGGGCGGAAGCCUGAGGCAGCAACGCCGCGUGCGGGAUGACGGCCUUCGGGUUGUAAACCGCUUUCGCCUGUGACGAAGCGUGAGUGACGGUAAUGGGUAAAGAAGCACCGGCUAACUACGUG